CCUACGGGGGGCAGCAGUGGGGAAUAUUGCACAAUGGGCGAAAGCCUGAUGCAGCAACGCCGCGUGAAGGAAGACGGUUUUCGGAUUGUAAACUUCUAUCAAUAGGGAAGAAAGAAAUGACGGUACCUAAAUAAGAAGCCCCGGCUAACUACGUGCCAGCAGCCGCGGUACUACGUAGGGGGCAAGCGUUAUACGGAAUUACUGGGCGUAAUGGGAGAGUAGGUGGCAAGGUAAGCGAUAUGUGAAAGCCUUAAGCUUAACUUAAGGAUUGCAUAACGAACUAUCUAGCUAGAGUACAGGAGAGGAAAGCGGAAUUCCUAGUGUAGCGGUGAAAUGCGGAGAUAUUAGGAAGAACACCAGUGGCGAAGGCGGCUUUCUGGACUGAAACUGACGCUGAGGCGCGAAAGCGUGGGGAGCGAACAGGAUUAGAUACCCCAGUAGUC
rnacentral:rRNA from 1 species